rnacentral:rRNA from 1 species
UACGUAGGGGGCAAGCGUUGUCCGGAAUUAUUGGGCGUAAAGAGCGCGUAGGCGGUCCGGUAAGUCGGCUGUGAAAGUCAAGGGCUCAACCCUUGAAAGCCGGCCGAUACUGUCGGACUAGAGUCCGGAAGAGGCGAGUGGAAUUCCCGGUGUAGCGGUGAAAUGCGCAGAUAUCGGGAGGAACACCAAUUGCGAAGGCAGCUCGCUGGGACGUUACUGACUCUGAGACGCGAAAGCGUGGGGAGCAAACAGG